CACAAUGCCAGAAUGAGCCUGCCUUAAUGGCAACUUCCAAGACAGAUUUUUUUAGCUAUGUUGAGACCCAGCAAGAGAAAGAAGAAACCGCACCUUAUGAUGUGGUAGGAGGCGAAUAGCGAUCUAAGGCAAUCUCCGUGGCGUAAAGCAAAGCAAAGCAAAUCAGGCUUUGUUCGAGUGGAGUUCAGAUCGAGAGAGGAGAGAGAGAGAGAGAGAGAGAGAGAGGAGUGAAGGCAGAUG